UGACCAGACUCCUACGGGAGGCAGCAGUGGGGGAUAUUGCACAAUGGGGGGAACCCUGAUGCAGCGACGCCGCGUGGGUGAAGGAGCGUUUCGGCGCGUAAAGCCCUAUCGGCAGGGAAGGAGGAGGACGGUACCUGACUAAGAAGCCCCGGCUAACUACGUGCCAGCAGCCGCGGUAAUACGUAGGGGGCAAGCGUUAUCCGGAUUUACUGGGUGUAAAGGGAGCGUAGACGGCGAUGCAAGUCUGAAGUGAAAGGCGGGGGCCCAACCCCCGGACUGCUUUGGAAACUGUAUGGCUGGAGUGCAGGAGAGGUAAGUGGAAUUCCUAGUGUAGCGGUGAAAUGCGUAGAUAUUAGGAGGAACACCAGUGGCGAAGGCGGCUUACUGGACUGUAACUGACGUUGAGGCUCGAAAGCGUGGGGAGCAAACAGGAUUAGAUACCCGUGUACU
rnacentral:rRNA from 1 species